rnacentral:rRNA from 1 species
GAGCGAAACGGGAAGAGCCCAAACCAACAAGCUUGCUUGUUGGGGUUGUAGGACACUCUAUACGGAGUUACAAAGGACGACAUUAGACGAAUCAUCUGGAAAGAUGAAUCAAAGAAGGUAAUAAUCCUGUAGUCGAAAAUGUUGUCUCUCUUGAGUGGAUCCUGAGUACGACGGAGCACGUGAAAUUCCGUCGGAAUCUGGGAGGACCAUCUCCUAAGGCUAAAUACUCUCUAGUGACCGAUAGUGAACCAGUACCGUGAGGGAAAGGUGAAAAGCACCCCGGAAGGGGAGUGAAAUAGAACCUGAAACCGUGUGCUUACAAGUAGUCAGAGCCCGUUAAUGGGUGAUGGCGUGCCUUUUGUAGAAUGAACCGGCGAGUUACGAUUUGAUGCAAGGUUAAGCAGUAAAUGUGGAGCCGUAGCGAAAGCGAGUCUGAAUAGGGCGUUUAGUAUUUGGUCGUAGACCCGAAACCAGGUGAUCUACCCUUGGUCAGGUUGAAGUUCAGGUAACACUGAAUGGAGGACCGAACCGACUUACGUUGAAAAGUGAGCGGAUGAACUGAGGGUAGCGGAGAAAUUCCAAUCGAACCUGGAGAUAGCUGGUUCUCUCCGAAAUAGCUUUAGGGCUAGCCUCAAGUGAUGAUUA